AUUGAACGCUGGCGGCAUGCCUUACACAUGCAAGUCGAACGGCAGCACGGGUGCUUGCACCUGGUGGCGAGUGGCGAACGGGUGAGUAAUACAUCGGAACGUACCUUAUCGUGGGAGAUAACGCAGCGAAAGCUGUGCUAAUACCGCAUACGCCCUGAGGGGGAAAGCGGGGGAUCGCAAGACCUCGCGCGAUUAGAGCGGCCGAUGCCUGAUUAGCUUGUUGGUGGGGUAAAAGCCCACCAAGGCGACGAUCAGUAGCUGGUCUGAGAGGACAAUCAGCCACACUGGGACUGAGACACGGCCCAGACUCCUACGGGAGGCAGCAGUGGGGAAUUUUGGACAAUGGGGGCAACCCUGAUCCAGCAAUGCCGCGUGAGUGAAGAAGGCCUUCGGGUUGUAAAGCUCUUUUGUCAGGGAAGAAACACCGGCUCUAACACAGUCCGGGAAUGACGGUACCUGAAGAAUAAGCACCGGCUAACUACGUGCCAGCCGCCGCCGUAA
rnacentral:rRNA from 1 species